rfam:Gossypium raimondii chromosome 1, whole genome shotgun sequence.
CAGGUCAGCGCGCCUUGUUGACGUGGAAGGAAAUUGCGUCCGCGGGCAAGCGCUUUGCUUCCACGUCAGCAGGUCGCGCUGACGUGG